CCAGGUGUUCAUCAGGUGGUCUCCAGGAAGCUAUGCAGUCGUAGAUGGGCAAGUGCAGGGGAGGACAUGAUGGACUGCUGCUGGUGCUAUGUUCCAUGUUUUUUUUGUAUGUUCGUGCUGAGCACCUGAGCUGCUGCCCGUCCGAUGGCGUUCGUGAGAAUUGGCGCACAGCAGGUGUUCGACGAAUUAUGUCAAAGGUGGUGAACUAACCUGUAUAAAAAAGAAAUAACUCU
rnacentral:lncRNA from 1 species